rnacentral:rRNA from 1 species
UAAUACGUAGGGAGCGAGCGUUACCCGGAAUUACUGGGCGUAAGGAGCGCGUAGGCGGCUGGGUAAGUCUCUUGUGAAAGCUCCCGGCUUAACUGGGAGAGGUCAAGGGAUACUACCCGGCUUGAGGGCAGUAGAGGAAGGCGGAAUUCCUGGUGUAGCGGUGAAAUGCGUAGAUAUCGGGAGGAACACCAGUGGCGAAAGCGGCCUUCUGGACUGUGCCUGACGCUGAGGCGCGAGAGCGUGGGGAGCAAACUGGAUUAGAUACCCAGGUAGUCCACGCCCUAAACGAUGGAUGCUAGGUAUAGGGGGUAUCGACCCCUCCUGUGCCGCAGCUAACGCGAUAAGCAUCCCGCCUGGGGACUACGGCCGCAAGGCUA